rnacentral:rRNA from 1 species
GAGUUUGAUCCUGGCUCAGGAUGAACGCUGGCGGUAUGCUUAACACAUGUAAGUCGAACGAAACCUUUCGGGGUUUAGUGGCGGACGGGUGAGUAACGCGUGAGAAUCUGGCUUCAGGUCUGGGACAACCACUGGAAACGGUGGCUAAUACCGGAUGUGCCGAAAGGUGAAAGGUUAACUGCCUGAAGAUGAGCUCGCGUCUGAUUAGCUAGUUGGUAGUGUAAUGGACUACCAAGGCGACGAUCAGUAGCUGGUCUGAGAGGACGAUCAGCCACACUGGGACUGAGACACGGCCCAGACUCCUACGGGAGGCAGCAGUGGGGAAUUUUCCGCAAUGGGCGAAAGCCUGACGGAGCAAUACCGCGUGAGGGAGGAAGGCUCUUGGGUCGUAAACCUCUUUCUCAGGGAAGAACACAAUGACGGUACCUGAGGAAUAAGCAUCGGCUAACUCCGUGCCAG